rnacentral:misc_RNA from 1 species
GAUCAACCAGAGAUCAGACUUCUCCUUCGCUUUGUUUUCUGGUGGAUUACGGAAUCCAAAGCUGGUUGCAGUGUCAAAUACUGUUGCCUUUACAAAUCCAAAUGCACCAUUAUACCCGCGGUUAGCACAGGGAAAGACAUGGAAUGAAAUGACUGUUACAUGGACAAGUGGAUAUGAUAUCAAUGAAGCAGAGCCCUUUGUGGAGUGGGGCCCACAACGUGGACAACAGACUCGUUCACCGGCAGGGACUUUGACUAUCGACCGUAGUAGCUUGUGUGGUGCACCAGCAAGAACUGUUGGAUGGCGCGAUCCUGGAUUCAUUCACACUAGUUUUCUGAAGGAGUUGUGGCCCAAUUUAGUAUAUACCUACAAGCUGGGGCAUAAACUGUUUAAUGGCACGUAUAUCUGGAGUCAGAUGUACAAAUUUAAAGCAUCGCCCUAUCCUGGCCAAAGCUCUCUUCAGCGAGUGGUUAUUUUUGGUGACAUGGGAAAGGAAGAAGCUGAUGGCUCAAUUGUGUACAAUCAAUACCAACCUGGCUCCCUUAACACUACCAAGCA